rnacentral:miRNA from 1 species
UGAGAAGGAUCAUUACGUGCA